CUCCUACGGGAGGCAGCAGUAGGGAAUCUUGCACAAUGGGGGAAAGCCUGAUGCAGCGAUGCCGCGUGAGUGAAGAAGGCCUUUGGGUUGUAAAGCUCUUUCGUCGGGGAAGAAAAUGACUGUACCCGAAUAAGAAGGUCCGGCUAACUUCGUGCCAGCAGCCGCGGUAAU
rnacentral:rRNA from 1 species